GCCCGGCUAGCGCAAUGGUAGCGCGUAAGACUUCUACUUACAAGUAAUCUUAAGGCUGUGGGUUCGAGUCCCACGUCGGGUG